AUUGAACGCUGGCGGCAUGCCUUACACAUGCAAGUCGAACGGUAACAGGUUAAGCUGACGAGUGGCGAACGGGUGAGUAAUAUAUCGGAACGUGCCCAGUCGUGGGGGAUAACGUAGCGAAAGCUACGCUAAUACCGCAUACGAUCUACGGAUGAAAGCGGGGGAUCGCAAGACCUCGCGCGAUUGGAGCGGCCGAUAUCAGAUUAGCUAGUUGGUGAGGUAAAGGCUCACCAAGGCGACGAUCUGUAGCUGGUCUGAGAGGACGACCAGCCACACUGGAACUGAGACAUGGUCCAGACUCCUACGGGAGGCAGCAGUGGGGAAUUUUGGACAAUGGGCGCAAGCCUGAUCCAGCAAUGCCGCGUGCAGGACGAAGGCCUUCGGGUUGUAAACUGCUUUUGUACGGAGCGAAACGGUCUUCUCUAAUACAGGGGGCUAAUGACGGUACCGUAAGAAUAAGCACCGGCUAACUACGUGCCAGCCGCCGCAGUAA
rnacentral:rRNA from 1 species